rnacentral:rRNA from 1 species
UGAGGAAUAUUGGCAAUGCCCGCAAGGGUGACCCAGCCAUGCCGCGUGCAGGAUGAAGGCCUUCGGGUUGUAAACUGCUUUUGUACGGAACGAAAAGGUGCCUUCUAAUAAAGGGCGCUCAUGACGGUACCGUAAGAAUAAGCACCGGCUAACUACGUGCCAGCAGCCGCGGUAAUACGUAGGGUGCGAGCGUUAAUCGGAAUUACUGGGCGUAAAGCGUGCGCAGGCGGUUUUGUAAGACAGAUGUGAAAUCCCCGGGCUUAACCUGGGAACUGCGUUUGUGACUGCAAGGCUGGAGUACGGCAGAGGGGGGUGGAAUUCCACGUGUAGCAGUGAAAUGCGUCGAGAUGUGGAGGAACACCGAUAGCGAAGGCAGCCCCCUGGGCCUGUACUGACGCUCAUGCACGAAAGCGUGGGG